rnacentral:rRNA from 1 species
GACAGAGGUGCCGAGCGUUAUGCGGAAUCACUGGGCUUAAAGCGUGUGUAGGCGGAUUGGUAAGUACCUUGUGAAAUCCCACGGCUUAACCGUGGAACUGCUUGGUAUACUGCUUAUCUUGGGCCACUUAGGGGCUACCGGAACAAACGGUGGAGCGGUGAAAUGCGUAGAUAUCGUUUGGAACGCCAAUGGUGAAAACAGGUAGCUGGGAGUGUGCCGACGCUGAGACACGAAAGCCAGGGGAGCGAACGGG